rnacentral:rRNA from 1 species
AACUCGCAAAUAUUCACGAACCCUAAGGCGCAAUGAAAGUGAAGGUCAGGCAUCGCACUGACUGAGGCAGGCAUCCGUCCGGGUGAGCGAAGCUCUUCUUCCCUUCGCGGGUUCGUCCCGCGGGGGAGCUCGGCGGCGCACUGCCAGCCCAUCUCGGCCGCUUCCCGUCGGCGAGGUGGAGCCAGAGCGCACACGUUGGGACCCGAAAGAUGGUGAACUAUGCUCGGGCAGGACGAAGCCAGAGGAACUCUGGUGGAGGUCCGUAGCGAUUCUGACGUGCAAAUCGAUCGUCGGACCCGAGUAUAGGGGCGAAAGACUAAUCGAACCGUCUAGUAGCUGGUUCCCUCCGAAGUUUCCCUC